UGAACGCUAGCUACAGGCUUAACACAUGCAAGUCGAGGGGCAGCAUGAACAUAGCUUGCUAUGUUUGAUGGCGACCGGCGCACGGGUGCGUAACACGUAUCCAAUCUGCCCGUUACUCGGGGGAUAGCCUUCUGAAAGGAAGAUUAAUACCCGAUGGCAUGUAUUUCCGGCAUCGGAGAUACAUUAAAGAUUUAUCGGUAACGGAUGAGGAUGCGUACGAUUAGCUGGUUGGCGGGGUAACGGCCCACCAAGGCGACGAUCGUUAGGGGUUCUGAGAGGAAGGCCCCCCACACUGGUACUGAGACACGGACCAGACUCCUACGGGAGGCAGCAGUGAGGAAUAUUGGUCAAUGGACGCAAGUCUGAACCAGCCAUGCCGCGUGCAGGAAGACGGCUCUAUGAGUUGUAAACUGCUUUUGUACAAGGGUAAACCCCGAUACGUGUAUCGGGCUGAAAGUACUGUACGAAUAAGGAUCGGCUAACUCCGUG
rnacentral:rRNA from 1 species